GACCCUGCUGUAUUUGAAAUACUGGUGACAUAGCAUUCAACUUCACAAUACCACACAGCUACCACAGUAUGACAGCCAACAAAUGGAUGGUGUGGUUCCCUGACCAGGAAAUAAACCUGGGCUGCAGAGGAGAUCUCAGGAAAAUCUUCGACAUCAGACUGAGGCCCUGUAUUGCUACAGUAUUUUUAUAACAUCUGCAAGCUACUUUUAACUGCUCUGCUGUCCCAACCCAGUGUCCCAGAUGCAGAAUGCAUGUGUCUUUCUGGAAGCACACUCAGAGGCCAUCUCAAACAUGCAGAAGGAUUUAGAAACAUUCAGAACCAUCAUCUCAGACUUCAAAUUUGGAAUUUGAUAAACCUCCCCAUGAUGGCCAUUUAUGAUAUUUCUCGUCAAAAUUCCUUCUUCUGGGAAAUGCGUACCCAUCUCUUAGCCUGCAUCCUAGUCCAUGUGUUUGUAGAUAGAUUUUUCAUAAUUUAGUGUAAACCUAACACCAACUCUCCAUCAAACAUCAGUCACAAGGGUUGAGUUCAGAUUUGAGUAGAUGCUUUGCUCUCUUAGUAGGCACCGGUAAAUCUUUGUAGAAAUGCUUGUACUAUUCUGGGUGUUAAACAUUUUGAAUAUAUUGCGAGGUAAUCUUGCAGCUCUGUGAACACACUAUCAGCUACCUACAAACCAUCACAUAUUCAUUUAGUCCAUAUGGGUAAAUCUUAUGUUUCUAAAAAAUUAAGAAUCUUAUCAGUCUAAUUUUAGAGAACUUUUAGAACACACAGUUUUGAGGAAAAUGAUGAGGGAUUCGUGUGUUGAUCAUCUUCACAUCAUCUUCCCUCAACACUUAAUAAAACAUAGGCUAAUGCACUAAUGCUCUUUAACAAGGAAAAUGUGUUAAAAAUGUUGGUAUGAAGUUGUCUAUUAAUCCACUUUGAGUACCAUCUGAAAUCAGUGACUUGAUUUACUCAAGCAUAGUUUUCUUUUUCUUAAUUGAGCAAAACUGGCACUUGUGAAACAGCACUCUUAUUUGUAAAUUUAAAAUGGAGUGUAACUGAAAGAAAUAUGAACCGUGAUUGAAUUUAUGUGUCACAAUCUCAAUAACAGAAGUGCCUGGCAAAUUUAUGUGCCCAGAGAUUUGUUUUUCAAACCAAGUAUUCAGGAACUGAAAUAUAAGAAAUCCUGGAUAACAUUUGCGAGUGCUGACCAUAUUUCAGACAUUCUUUUUGGACAUAAUGUUAACUGAGUUAGUGCGCACAAGACAUUAUGAGAUACUUACAUUCAUUAUCUCAAUUUUACAGAUGCGAAAACUGAGAUAGAUGAGUUAAGUAAGGGUUAUGCAUCUAGAAGGUGGUGGGCCCAGGAUUCAAACUCAGGUCCCUGGCUUGAGAGCCUAUGCCUGUAACCACCACAGUAUGAGCUUCUUAAUAUAAUAUGGGAGUUGGCUAUCAUAUUGGUCUUUAUUUGAAAGCUAAACUAUUAGAAAGCAUAUUUUAUGUACUCUAACUUUUCAUCUCUCCCUCUACUGAGCCUUGAAAUGACCUUGGUAUGUUAGCUGCAUGUGUUCCAGGCCAUAAUCUAAAUCUAAGUCACACAUAAAAAUUAAUUAUUUCCUGUCUAUCCUUGGACUCAUAGAACCCGAAGUCAUUAAGCCAGUUUACUAAUGUAACCAUGUGAGUUCUUCUGCAUCUUUAUUUGGCCACAUUUACAUUUCUCAUCUCAUCUGGUAGCAAUUCAGCAGGAAAAGAGACCGGAUGGAGACAAGUGAGUUCUUGGGUCUAAGUUUCAGUUCUACAUCAGAGUGUGGGAAUCUUGGGGACCAUCUUAGAAUUCUGCCUUUUAAAGGGUGUCUCAGUAGAGGGAACCUAAAAUUUUGUUUAGUAACAGAAACUGCCAAUUGAAAGUCUCCAGGAGGUCACCUUGAAAAGACUAUGUUUGUGUCUUGGCUGCCUGGAAAAUUUACAUAAGAACUCAGUUAAUUCUACAAAAAAUAAUACAUCAAGUUCCUGAACUUUCUCUGAAAAAUCCGUGUUUUGAGAAAUCCUGGUUCUGGAGCCAGAAUGUCUACGUUUGAAUCCUAGGGUUGCAAGGUAACAACUGUGAACCUAACAACGGUGUGAACUUUGCAAGUUGUUCAAAGUUUCUUGGCCUGUUUCCUUGUCACCGGUAUAGGACUUUACUCAUGGCGUGUCCUGAAAAUUAAAUGAUUUAAUACAUGUAAACUCUUUAGGAGAAUGAUGGACACAUAGUGACUAACACGAAAAGCUUCACUUUUUGUUUAAUCAGCAUUCACAUAACACUUCUUACAGAACAGGCACUGUCAUAAGAACUCUAUGAGGUAGGUGCUGUUAUUAUCUCCAUUUGAUAGAUGAGGAAACUGAGGCACAGAGAAUUUAAGCAAUUUGUUCAAAGCCAAAGUGCUGGUCAGUAUGGACUGGAUUUGAAUCCAGGUCGUCUGUUCACUAAUAGCGUCUUGCUGUCAGAAAAAAAGGCACUGAGGCCCUCAGAGGAAGACUCAUCAUGUCGGAAAGUUGUCUUAAAUCAAUGCCUGGGCUUAGGUUGUUGAGAGUUGAGGGUGGGGGCGUUGGUUCUGGCUCAGCAAGCAGGUGAAGAUGAAUGCCUUUCCCGAAUCAGUGACUCUGGGAUGAAUGGCAUACUAGAAAAGGAAAAAGGUAAACUCCAGGAGAGUGGAAUGGUUGUGUCUUGCUCAUGAUUGAGUUCUCAACAGCUGGAACUGAGUUUUCCUUAUGAUUGAUGCGUGUAGUCAACUCAGCGUUUGUGUCUCCCCAACCCCCAAGUUCCCAUGUCGAAAUCCUAAGCCGCAAUGUGAUGGUAUUAACAGAUGUGGCCUUUGGAAAGUAAUUAGGUUAUGAGGGUUGAACCCUCAUGAGUGUGGUUAGUGUUCAGAGAGCUCUCUCGCCCUCUUUCGGCCAUGUGAGAAUACAGGGAGAGGUUUGCAGCCUGCGACCUAGAAGAGCGCCUUCAUCAUCCAGCCAUGCUCCCUGACCUUGGACUUUCCAGCC